rnacentral:rRNA from 1 species
UACGAAGGGGGCUAGCGUUGCUCGGAAUCACUGGGCGUAAAGCGCACGUAGGCGGAUUGUUAAGUCAGGGGUGAAAUCCUGGAGCUCAACUCCAGAACUGCCUUUGAUACUGGCGAUCUCGAGUCCGGGAGAGGUGAGUGGAACUGCGAGUGUAGAGGUGAAAUUCGUAGAUAUUCGGAGGAACACCAGUGGCGAAGGGCGGCUCACUGGUCCGGUACUGACGCUGAGGUGCGAAAGCGUGGGGAGCAAACAGG